rnacentral:tRNA from 1 species
GUGAACAUAGUUUAUAAAAAUGUUAGCCUGUGGCCCUAACGAAAAGAAGUAGAAUCCUCUUUGUUCACC